GAUGAACGCUGGCGGCGUGCCUAAUACAUGCAAGUCGAGCGAACAGAUAAGGAGCUUGCUCCUUUGACGUUAGCGGCGGACGGGUGAGUAACACGUGGGUAACCUACCUAUAAGACUGGAAUAACUCCGGGAAACCGGGGCUAAUGCCGGAUAACAUUUAGAACCGCAUGGUUCUAAAGUGAAGGUGGGUUUUCCAUUCCCUAUUAAUGGACCCGCGCCGUAUUAGCUAGUUGGUAAGGUAACGGCUUACCAAGGCAACGAUACGUAGCCGACCUGAGAGGGUGAUCGGCCACACUGGAACUGAGACACGGUCCAGACUCCUACGGGAGGCAGCAGUAGGGAAUCUUCCGCAAUGGGCGAAAGCCUGACGGAGCAACGCCGCGUGAGUGAUGAAGGUCUUCGGAUCGUAAAACUCUGUUAUUAGGGAAGAACAAAUGUGUAAGUAACUGUGCACGUCUUGACGGUACCUAAUCAGAAAGCCACGGCUAACUACGUG
rnacentral:rRNA from 1 species